rnacentral:rRNA from 1 species
UGGUGGUGCAUGGCCGUUCUUAGUUGGUGGAGUGAUUUGCCUGGUUAAUUCCGAUAACGAACGAGACCUUAACCUGCUAACUAGAUUCAUCAGUACUACUUUUGAUAUCUUCUUAGAGGGACUAUGUAAUACAAAUACAUGGAAGUUUGAGGCAAUAACAGGUCAGUGAUGCCCUUAUAUGUCCUGGGCUGCACGCGUGCUACACUGAUGCAUACAACAAGUGCCUAACCAGACAUGGUAUGGCAAUCUCGAAUAUGCAUCGUGAUGGGGAUAGAUCUUUGCAAUU